UACAGAGGUGCCGAGCGUUAGGCGGAAUCACUGGGCUUAAAGCGUGUGUAGGCGGACUUCUAAGUACCUUGUGAAAUCCCACGGCUCACCCGUGGAACUGCUUGGUAUACUGGUUGUCUUGAGCCUUCUAGGGGCGAGUGGAACAAAUGGUGGAGCGGUGAAAUGCGUAGAUAUCAUUUGGAACGCCAAUGGUGAAAACAACUCGCUGGGGAAGUGCUGACGCUGAGACACGAAAGCCAGGGGAGCGAACGGG
rnacentral:rRNA from 1 species